GCCGUUCUCCACCUCCUCUAACCUGAUUGGUUGUGAGGCAGACGCUGCUCCCCCGUGUUGUUCAGGAGCCCAAACAAAGUUAGCGUGCUACAAUAUCGGACAGUAGAAACCAACCAGAAAGUUCGGAAAAUUGUCUGAAUCCUCCUUUGGCCACGACUGCCGACACAAGCAAGAAAAGACUCAAACAUAAACAGUCAGCAAGAAAACAGUCAACACCAAACCAGUCAACAGGAAAACGGUCAACACCAAAACAGUCAGCAAGAAAACAGUCAACCAUAUUCAGUCAACAAGAAAACAGUCAGCAAAAACAGUCAACCAAAAACAGUCAACACCAAAACAGUCAGCAAGAAAACA